CAGUCGCCACGGUAAUACGUAGGUGGCAAGCGUUGUCCGGAAUUAUUGGGCGUAAAGCGCGCGCAGGCGGAUCAGUUAGUCUGUCUUAAAAGUUCGGGGCUUAACCCCGUGAGGGGAUGGAAACUGCUGAUCUAGAGUAUCGGAGAGGAAAGUGGAAUUCCUAGUGUAGCGGUGAAAUGCGUAGAUAUUAGGAUGAACACCAGUGGCGAAGGCGACUUUCUGGACGAAAACUGACGCUGAGGCGCGAAAGCCAGGGGAGCGAACGGGAUUAGAUACCCCUGUAGUCCCUGUCUCUUAUACC
rnacentral:rRNA from 1 species